rnacentral:lncRNA from 1 species
CUGUCGGCCCAGCGUGGCUUAGGCCAGACCCCGAUCCAUCGACACCCCAAGGAAAUGCUGUGCACAAAAUUCCAAGAGGGCCUUUUCGAAUAGACGCAUGAACGGUGUUUGUGUCUGGAUCGUCCAGCCUCCCGGGAUCGAUUGGGAAUCUAGCUUCUGCUUGCCUUUCCAGCGCGACGCACAGUAGGAGCCUAAUAAAUGUUUG